CCCCAUGCACGACUGGAGUACCUCUGUCCCCAUGCCUGGAUUCUAAUUGUAUUUUGUGUUCCAUAGGGUGUCUGCUCUGAGUCCUGGUGUGCGGUGUCUCCACCUUGCUGUUUUCCUCAUGUUGCAGGUCUGUAUGAACACUAUCCUAGAGGAAAAGUGUCUUUGGGUUUCUGUGAUGACUAACCCUAAUGCCUAUUGAAUUUCUAAAUGUGAACAUUCUUCAAACUGAGUUGCCCUCAAUGGUGGCCUUGGUGAGCCUAACUGUCUAACUAACCUAACCAUGGUUCUCUUAUCUGUUACAGGGUCCUGGAGGCUUUGGAAGACUGAGCCCUGGUCCCGGAGGCUUUUGAAGACUGAGCCCAGGGUGCUGUGGACAUUGUUGCUGUUGAAAAUGAGCAUCAGCAUUGGCCUGAACGUUUGACAUUCUGGUGUGAAACGCCCAGACUCUUUAUUAAAUAAAAAC
rnacentral:lncRNA from 1 species